rnacentral:rRNA from 1 species
GAUGAACGCUGGCGGCGUGCCUAAUACAUGCAAGUCGAGCGAACGGACGAGAAGCUUGCUUCUCUGAUGUUAGCGGCGGACGGGUGAGUAACACGUGGAUAACCUACCUAUAAGACUGGGAUAACUUCGGGAAACCGGAGCUAAUACCGGAUAAUAUUUUGAACCGCAUGGUUCAAAAGUGAAAGACGGUCUUGCUGUCACUUAUAGAUGGAUCCGCGCUGCAUUAGCUAGUUGGUAAGGUAACGGCUUACCAAGGCAACGAUGCAUAGCCGACCUGAGAGGGUGAUCGGCCACACUGGAACUGAGACACGGUCCAGACUCCUACGGUAGGCAGCGGUAGGGAAUCUUCCGCAAUGGGCGAAAGCCUGACGGAGCAACGCCGCGUGAGUGAUGAAGGUCUUCGGAUCGUAAAACUCUGUUAUUAGGGAAGAACAUAUGUGUAAGUAACUGUGCACAUCUUGACGGUACCUAAUCAGAAAGCCACGGCUAACUACGUG